GACUCAAUUUCUUAUCUAUAAAAUGGGAAUAGUAAUAGUACUUGCAACCUAGUUAUAAGUGUCAAAUGAAACAAAAAACUAUAAAAUGCUUAGCAUAGUGCAUAGCACAUACAAAUGCUAUAUAAAUGUUAGGUAUUAUUUAUAAGGAUUAGUCUAUUUCUGUCUUUAAAUAAGACCCUUAAUUAUACUUCUACAAUUUACUUAAAAUGCAUUGUUAUGUAUGAUAGCAGUCUGUGUUAUACAUCUUAUUCUAUUUGCACAGCAGUCUGAAAACUCCACAAGGGUAUAUAGAUCAGGUCUUAACUAAACUUUGGCUUUCUCCCAGUGCCUAGCACACAUUAGACCCUUAAAAAUGUUUGAAUCAAAUCAUUGUUGUUAAAUGGCAUCCAUUUAUUCCUUAAUGACCAAUAGAAUAUACAUCCUAAAAGUGUAUUCUAAGAACAGUAGACACAAAACAAAUGAAGUUGACUGAUAGUGGAGAGGAGAGCACAAAAAUGUGUCUUGUUAAACAAAACCUAAGAAAUUUAAAAACCAUUUUACAAAUCAAUGUUUGAUAUUUUUACAUAGACUCGUUUAAUUGUUCCAUGAUUAGAUGCAACUUUUUCUUUAAUUUUCUAAAUUUUAAUUUAUUUAAAUGCAAUUUAUCAAAUGUCAUGAAAUUUUACUUUUCCUAUAGGUAGCAUAAUUUAUGAUGGAUUAGAUGCCCUACUUAAAAGAAGUAAAAAUAAUUCUCACUGAGAAAUUAUUAAUAGUACUGUAAUGAUGGAGAGUAGCACAAAAGAACCAUUGGGUUGAAAUGGAAUGUUGAGGGCUCAAUAGCUACAUGAGGCAAGAAGGGCAGUUGGAAACUGAACAAGGACUUCUGGGAAAUUCUCCAAAGGAGUAGGGUCUUGAGGACAGAGACACAGAAGGGAGUUUAAGGAGGAGCUGUUUCUAUGGGGCAUUUCAAGACACAUGUGGAGAUUUCUGACACUGACAGAAAUGCUAACAUCAAGGGUUCCUGUUUAAAACAUUGCUGGUUCCUGUCAAGAAAGCUAAUUUCUUCAAAGAUUUUCAUUCCAUGAGUUAUUGAGAUACUGGACUCUAUUCAGUGAGCAGUGUUCUCUCCCCUAUUCUACCUCUUCCCUGCCUACUAGAAAACCUUUUACUUCCGUAAUUAGAUUAUUUAGAAAAAGAUUUAGGGCGACCUACAAUCCCCCUAACCUCUUCUCCUUUACCCCAAAUCAACAAUUAAAUCAAAUAAGCAGUCAGAUAGCAAAUUCAGUCUCUUUUAUUUACAUCUAGAGAGGAAGCCCAUUGGCAGACUCCAUCUUGUUGCCAGUUUUCAAGAAGACACCAGGAGGCUUGUGAGCACUCCAGACCAGCACAUAUCCGGAUUGUAGAGAAUACUUUCCUGCCGCCCUUGAGGGCCAACACAGCCACAAAGGGGCAAGCUUUCACCAUUUUGUCUUCCUCAAGUAAUUCAGGGACUCCAGGAGGGAGUAGUGAGGGAAGUCAUUUUCAUUUUUCCCUUUCCUCAUUGCCUUCAAACCUCAUUUCUCCAUCUAAGGAGUGUAAGUCCCCCAAAAUUAUAGUACCUAGUGUAAUUCAAACAGGAAGAGAGCAGCAAGCAUGCUCAAAAAUUCCAUAGAAAUUUUAAUUUUUAUGUACUUGGCACAACAAAAAGGAACUAAUUUAGCUAUUUCAAAAUCAUAUAAUGAUAAGAAUUAGUUUUAAACACUUGAGCCAUAGCAUUAUAAAAUUUCUGACUGUCAAAAUGCUGCUCAUUGAACUGUAUUUACUUUGAAAAAUCUGUUUUCAUGACAAAAAUAAGAAAAGUAACUUCCCUUACCAAAAAAAAAAAAAACCCAACUUCCUUUGUAGUUAAGAUCUAAAAAAAUCAAGCAGUGGAUAAUCUAGAGGUAAUGAAACACAUUUUAUCUCUGCUGUUUCUCUUUUGCCUUUCUUGGGAAUCUGUUUGAAAAUAGUGUGCUGUUUUCAGGAAGGUGUGUUUUCUCACAAUUCUAAGGCAAGACAAGUAGGACUCUCAAAAAAGCUCCGGGAUAGGAACCAGAAGACCUGUCUUUGAAUUCUAGUUCCCAGAUUUAAUAUUUAUAUGGCUUUAGGUAAAUAACUACUUUGGGGAAUACACAACAGCAACUCUUUACAUACAGGUUACCUGGAUGAGUUCGUCCAAUUCAGUUGCAUUGACACAAGAAUGCUGAGAUAUGAAUGUCUGCUUCUGGAUCACAAUGGUAGUCCUCCGUGAAAUCUCAUGAGGUUGCUCCAGAGCUUUGAACACAGUGGCUCCAAUGAUCAGAUAGACGACAACCACCAGGAAAAUCGUGGAGACUGUCUUCCAUUUCAUAACAUUAAUGGUUGUGUCACUCUCCACCCGGGAAGAAAGCACUGUGGGUUUUGUAGAAAAUGAGAGCCUCGGUUUGGAGUUCUGAGUGGCAGAUUUAGGAUCCAGCAAGUCAGGUGCCGCCA